UACAUUCGUCUUCACGAUGUUCUUCGCUCAUGCAUUCUUAUGCAUCGCUAAUUUGCAUAAACUGUCCGAUUGUUUUGGAUUCUUCACUAAUGUCUUUUGUGCCUUUUUCUAAUAGUAGAAAUAAAUCCUCAUUUUUUAAUAACUUAAUGACCAACUAACUAACUAACUUUAAUUGUUAAUUAUCUUUAAAACAAUUAGCUCUACAAGGUGGCAAAAUUUCAUUAAUAGAAAAGUUGUUUACAAGUAUUCAUCGGUCGGUAAAUAUGUCUAAUAUGUCUAAAUAUCUAAAUUACUUAAAGUAAUCCAAAGUAGAUGUCACCAUUGUUGUUUUGAGUGUACCGAUUAUUUCAAAAUUUCAUUUGAUUAACGUAGUUAAAAAUAAAUGACAGGUUUCAAAAUGGAAUCCAGUGUACCAUCAAAAUUAAGAACCUGAAAGCAUUAUGGGCGUGCAAUAUAGUGACAGUAGAGUCAUGGCCGCAAAGCGUGACCGUUUAAUGCUUUCCUUCCGCAAACUUUGAUGCACGGCGAUCGUACCGCGAGGCAAAAGGGGCACAACAAGAAGCUUUUCAGAUUACUUUAAUCAGUUAAUUGUUGACAUUAGGAAAAAGAAAGGGGUGCAGACGGCGAGCAUUUUCACAAAGAUGAUGCAGAAUUAUCAUAAGAUAGGUGCGAGUGCAUCCGGAAAAUAGCAGCUGCGACGGAUAAUUAAAUUUGAUCAAGCUAAUGGGUAUUACCGGUGGACUUCCUCAACAAUGAAAUUUUGACGUUCACGGAAAACUUAACGAUUCUAUUGCCAACAUUAAUCGCACCUGAUCUCUGAGCCGGCGAUUAACGACUGGAAGCUCAUUUUGUUUAAGAUUUGAAGUUUAAAAAAGCCAGCAUUCAGAUGAUGAAACUAAUAACGUUUUCGUAUCCACGAAGAGGUGUCUUUUCACUAUUCACCUGGUCAUUUGUUGACCCCAAGAUUGCAAUAAUGAUGCACUAUAAUUAAAAGGAAAUCAUGAAUUUAAUUCAGUGGAUCCUCAGGAUGUUAAAAUCGAACUUAUGAAACAUCCGAAGAUUCUCCACUGUUUUAUACACGGUUCCUUGAUCACAGUUCAAACAAUUAUUUAA